AAAGAUUGGACUAUGCUCCUGCCUUAUGCACUGUUUCACGCAAGAAAUUCUCCCUUUGUUUCUUUGUGUAACAUAUCCCCCUAUGAAAUUCUCUAUGGUGCCCCUCCUCCAGUAAGGGACCUAACCCCAACUCUAAGACCUAACGAUCCCUUCCACACCCCCUUGCUUGACAGACUAAAAGCUCUCGAAAGAACUCAGUGAUACCUGUUGAAACAGCUGGCCACAGCCUACCAACCUGGGGACGUGGGGACUCCACAUCAAUAUCAAGUAAGAGACUUCGUCUACAUAAGACGUCAUCAGGUGUCAUCCCUGCAACCCCACUGGAAAGGACCAUACAAGGUGCUACUUAUAACACCUACAGUGGUAAAGGUAGACGGAAUCACUUCCUGGAUCCAUGCCUCUCAUCUCAAGCCUGUGCCCUGUCCAGACUCUGGCUGGAAACUGGAAAAGACUGGUAACCCUUUCAAAUUGCGUAUUCACCAUGUGGAUAGGGCUAUAAACGGUCCCCUUGGCCACCAGUAGUCCUAACCCUCAUCAGCCCAUUCAGCAGCAAUGGCUGAUCACAAAUCCUACUGUACAAGAAGUAUGGUCUAUCUUGCAUACAGCCCCCUUAGGGGUCUGCUGGCCAUCUCUCCACCCAGAUAUUUGUCAGAUGGCUACAGGUCUUUCCUAUUGGGAUAUCCUAAAUGAAGAGGAUCCCACUAAAAUUCCAUUAAAUACCUUCUGUACCAUAGAUAAUGGAAACAAACAUUAUGGAUGUAGGGACACGCUACCAGAUGCAGGUUGGCUAUCCUAGAUUACUAUGUCUGCCCGGCAGACUAUCAAAGCCACAAACAGCCAUGGCUGUGUGGGGGAAAAGCCGACUUCUUCUGUAAGUCAUGGGGAUGUGAGCAUACUGGGGGUACCUGGUGGAACCCAAACUGCUCAUCAAAUUCAGUACACAGCAUUGGCCAUAUUACCAAUUAGAGAACGAAAACCCAUGGACCCCAGAUGGGUCUCUGGAUCUUCAAAUUCUGUGUGACCUUUUUAACUUCUGCAAGUGCUCAAAAGGGUGAAUGGAAAUACCCCUAUGUGGAGGCCUUUUCCCUCCUUCGCACACAUCCUGAACUAUGCUUCUCCAAUAGAUCCUCACCCUCAGCCUUCUGCUCCAGACUCUCUGCUGUCACUCCCACCUCAGCAACUUGA
rnacentral:lncRNA from 1 species